CACGUAGGGUGCGAGCGUUGUCCGGAAUUAUUGGGCGUAAAGAGCUCGUAGGCGGUCCGUCACGUCGGAUGUGAAAUUCCAGGCUCAACCCUGGACCUGCAUUCGAUACGGGCGGACUAGAGUUCGGUAGGGAGACUGGAAUUCCUGGUGUAGCGGUGAAAUGCUUAGAUAUGACGCAGAACACCAAUUGCGAAGGCAGCUUGCUACACUGUUAUUGACACUGAGGCACGAAAGCGUGGGGAUCAAACAGG
rnacentral:rRNA from 1 species